rnacentral:ncRNA from 1 species
AAAUAGACAAAAUUACAGUUUCCGCAGCUGUAGAUGGAUGCUUUGGUAGUAUAACCAUAGGUUAUUGUUUCAGAAAGAAACUAUCUCUACGAGGAUGCUCUAAACGCCAAAAAAUAUGGGCGCAUCUUUACUUGCCUUAAACACACCGCUCGUCACGCGAGAUAAAAAAUUAUAACGAAUAUUGGUAGAGCGUGGAAAGGUUCCCGUGAGGAUAGAAAUGAAAUAGAUAUUCUUGAAAGAGAUAACUCAACAUGAUAUAAAAACUAGGGUAAACGGCGGCUGUAAUCUGACGGUCCAAAGGUAGCAAAAUUCCUUGUCGGGUAAAUUCCGUCCUGCAUGAAUGGUGUAACGACUUUCCUAAUGUCUC